rnacentral:rRNA from 1 species
UACAGAGGGGGCAAGCGUUGUUCGGAAUUACUGGGCGUAAAGGGCGCGUAGGCGGCCCGCUAAGUCGAACGUGAAAUCCCCAGGCUCAACCGGGGAACUGCGUCUGAUACUGGAUGGCUUGAGUUUGGGAGAGGGACGCGGAAUUCCAGGUGUAGCGGUGAAAUGCGUAGAUAUCUGGAGGAACACCGGUGGCGAAGGCGGCGUCCUGGACCAACACUGACACUGAUGAGCGAAAGCCAGGGGAGCAAACGGG